rnacentral:rRNA from 1 species
UGGGGAAUAUUGCACAAUGGGCGGAAGCCUGAUGCAGCAACGCCGCGUGCGGGAUGACGGCCUUCGGGUUGUAAACCGCUUUCGCCUGUGACGAAGCGUGAGUGACGGUAAUGGGCAAAGAAGCACCGGCUAACUACGUGCCAGCAGCCGCGGUGAUACGUAGGGUGCGAGCGUUGUCCGGAUUUAUUGGGCGUAAAGGGCUCGUAGGUGGUUGAUCGCGUCGGAAGUGUAAUCUUGGGGCUUAACCCUGAGCGUGCUUUCGAUACGGGUUGACUUGAGGAAGGUAGGGGAGAAUGGAAUUCCUGGUGGAGCGGUGGAAUGCGCAGAUAUCAGGAGGAACACCAGUGGCGAAGGCGGUUCUCUGGGCCUUUCCUGACGCUGAGGAGCGAAAGCGUGGGGAGCGAACAGGCUUAGAUACCCUGGUAGUCCACGCUGUAAACGGUGGGUACUAGGUGUGGGGGUCCAUUCCACGGGUUCCGCGCCGUAGCUAACGCUUAAGUACCCCGCCUGGGGAGUACGGCCGCAAGGCUAAACUC